UUGGGGCUGUGCUCAGUGGUAGAGCACUUGUCUUACAUGUGUGAGUCACUGGGUUCAAUCCUCAGUGCCACAUA
rnacentral:tRNA from 1 species